UACAGAGGGGGCGAGCGUUGUUCGGAAUUACUGGGCGUAAAGGGCGCGUAGGCGGCCCGCUAAGUCGCACGUGAAAUCCCCGGGCUCAACCCGGGAACUGCGUCCGAUACUGGCAGGCUUGAAUCCGGGAGAGGGAUGUGGAAUUCCAGGUGUAGCGGUGAAAUGCGUAGAUAUCUGGAGGAACACCGGUGGCGAAGGCGGCAUCCUGGACCAACACUGACACUGAUGAGCGAAAGCCAGGGGAGCAAACGGG
rnacentral:rRNA from 1 species